ACAAUCUCCUCUGGGCAUAGGGAAGUCAUCUUCCCCAUAUAACACCUGCUCGCCAUCCGAGUCCAAUUCGGGCUUACGAAGCUUUUCCAAAGGAAUAUCAGGAGCGUGUCUAGCUUCCCUUAAACCGCGAUUGUAACCGGUUACGUACAUACGGAAGGCUUUCUUAAAAAUAGCCGACCCCAUCUCAGCAGAAGCUUUAUAUUCA
rnacentral:lncRNA from 1 species